GACGAACGCUGGCGGCGUGCCUAAUACAUGCAAGUAGGACGCAGUUGCGAACGGGUGAGUAACGCGUAGGUAACUACCUAUUAGAGGGGGGUACUAUUGGAAACGAUAACCAAUACCGCAUACUAGUUGAUGGUCCCUCGUUGUAUUAGCUAGUAGGGAGGGUAAUGGCCUACCUAGGCAAAUAUACAUUGCCGACCUGAGAAGGUGAUCGGCCAAAACGGGACUGCGACACGGCCCAGGCUGCUAAGGGAGGCAGCAGUAGGGAAUCUUCGGAAAUGGGGGGAACCCUGACCGAGCAACGCCGCGUGAGUGAAGAAGGUUUUCGGAUCGUAAAGCUAUGUUGUUAAGGAAGCGGUACUUAACCAGAAAGGGACGGCUAACUACGUGCCAGCAGCCGCGGUAAUAC
rnacentral:rRNA from 1 species